CGGAGGGUGCGAGCGUUGUCCGGAAUCAUUGGGCGUAAAGGGCGCGUAGGUGGCCCGGUCAGUCCGUGGUGAAAGCGCGGGGCUCAACCCCGCGUCGGCCAGGGAUACUGCGGGGCUGGAGCACUGUAGAGGCAGGCGGAAUUCCGGGUGUAGCGGUGGAAUGCGUAGAGAUCCGGGAGAACACCGGUGGCGAAGGCGGCCUGCUGGGCAGUGGCUGACACUGAGGCGCGACAGCGUGGGGAGCAAACAGGAUUAGAUACCCUGGUAGUCCACGCCGUAAACGAUGGGCACUAGGCGCUUGGGGGAGCGACCCCCCGAGGGCCGGCGCUAACGCAUUAAGUGCCCCGCCUGGGGAGUACGGCCGCAAGGCUG
rnacentral:rRNA from 1 species